GGGGAUAGCUCAGUGGUAGAGUGCCUGCCUUACAUGCAUAAGGUCCUAGGUUCAAUCCCCAGAACCUCCA
rnacentral:tRNA from 1 species